GACGAACGCUGGCGGCGCGCCUAACACAUGCAAGUCGAACGGAGCUGCGAGAAGCUUGCUUUUCUUAGCUUAGUGGCGAACGGGUGAGUAACGCGUGAGUAACCUGCCCUGGAGUGGGGGACAACAGUUGGAAACGACUGCUAAUACCGCAUAAGCCCACGAUCCGGCAUCGGAUUGAGGGAAAAGGAUUUAUUCGCUUCAGGAUGGACCCGCGUCCAAUUAGCUAGUUGGUGAGGUAACGGCCCACCAAGGCGACGAUUGGUAGCCGGACUGAGAGGUUGAACGGCCACAUUGGGACUGAGACACGGCCCAGACUCCUACGGGAGGCAGCAGUGGGGGAUAUUGCACAAUGGGGGAAACCCUGAUGCAGCGACGCCGCGUGGAGGAAGAAGGUUUUCGGAUUGUAAACUCCUGUCGUGAGGGACGAUAAUGACGGUACCUAACAAGAAAGCACCGGCUAACUACGUG
rnacentral:rRNA from 1 species